rnacentral:rRNA from 1 species
GGACUACCAGGGUUUCUAAUCCUGUUCGCUCCCCACGCUUUCGCUCCUCAGCGUCAGUGCCGGCCCAGCCCACCGCCUUCGCCACCGGUGUUCUUCCUGAUAUCUGCGCAUUUCACCGCUACACCAGGAGUUCCGUGGGCCCCUACCGGACUCUAGCCAUGGCAGUAUCGAAUGGCGACCCCAGGUUGAGCCUGGGGGUUUCACACCCGACUUACCAAGCCGCCUACGAGCUCUUUACGCCCAAUGAAUCCGGACAACGCUCGCUCCCUACGUAUUACCGCGGCGGCUGGCAC